rnacentral:lncRNA from 1 species
AAGUGGGGUUGCUAGAUCGAUGAUAUUUGUAUUUUUAAUUUUUUGAGGAAGCUCCAUACUAUUUUUCAUAGUGGCUGUAUCAGUUUACAGUCCAGAGUCCUACCAAUAGCACACAGGGUUCCCUUUUCCUCACAUUCUUGUUAACUUUAUAGCUGAGGAAACCAAGGUCCUUUGAAGUUAAAUAGCUUAUCCAGAUAUCCCACAGCUAGGAAAUGGCUGACAUAAUAAUAGAGCACAAGUCUCUUCACUUCUGUCUCAGGACUCUUGUCAUACCAUACAAAAAACAGGAGGGAGCUGGGCCCUGCCUCCUGGAAUCCUGGAACUUGCCCUCCAUGACUUGCGUGCAAGUCAGCAGCAUGGCCCUGUCAGUAUCCCAUGGUAGUCUGUGUCACUGAAGGCCUUGAAGGUGGCAGAAAUGCCCUUACCUGGGAACUGGUUUCCAAGCCACUCCUUGCAGUGACACUGAUGAAACACAUUUCUUAACAAAUAAGAAUCUAAUGGAUUAGGUCUUAUCUAAUUAUGCAUUCUGCAUUAAUGCGGUGCCUCUCCCUGCCUGAUGCUGCCGGCAUAAUUAAACUUAAUGUACUUUUAAUGAUGUCUUUUUAACUCAAGCAUUCACAUGUGAUUAGCAUCAAAUGGGGAUGAGCUGUCCCAGGUCCAGGGGCUGUUCUUUACAUUCCUACCCAUUCUCCUCCCUACAACAGGUGUGAAUGAAUCAAGGUCUUCAAGGUUUGAAAAUGUUAGCUUGGGGGUAAGGAUGCCUUGUAAUGCCAGUCACUUUAAUUUGAGUCAACAAAAUGGCAUCCUCUUUUAGUUUGGCUUAAAUUCCAGUAAACACUGGGAAUUAUACUAUAUGCUGAACAAAUUGAAUUUAAAUAAAAUAUAUAAAAAAAGAAAACAAACAAAAACUCCAGUAAACAUUACUGAAAGCAGUAUGCAUUGUAAAUUUUGUUCUGUUUUGAACUCCAUUUGUUGGCUAAAGAAUGAGUAAAGAAACGAUCAGGGAAACAACAUGUGAAGAAAAGAGAAUUAUAUUGGGAGUCAAGUUACCUGGUUCUAACAAGUAAUACUCCCGUCUUUGAACCUUUUCUUUAUCUGUAAAGUGGGAGGGUUAAACUAGAUGACAUUUAGGGUCUCUCUAGCUCUGAAGAUGAUUAUUAUUUAAAUAUGGUCCCCGUGCUCCUCUUUCUUCCCUACCUGCAGUUCAUCCUUCUUACCCCUCCACCUAGUAACUCUGAGCAUGGGCUGCAUUAUUACCUUCAUCAUAAAUUUUGCACCACAGUAGAAACUACUACUGUGUGUUAUUUCCUGCAUGCUAGGCAUUUGUAUUUGUUACCUCCCCUCAUCUUCAACUGCCCCAAGAAGUUUGGUAUUUUGUCAGUUUUACUGAUCAGGGAAGUGUGACUUAGAUGGAAAGAUUUUUCCAGCUCAAACAGCUGGAAAAUGGUGAAGAUCAGUCAGUAUUUAUCCAUAGUGCCCUGUCCCUUCUCAAAAGUUUGCUGCUGCCGACAAGAGAGGGUGGAAGUUGAGACAGACAUUUACAGCACACAUGAUCCACCCCACAUUAGUAUUUCUAGUCUUGUUUUCCCUCUCUUACUCCACUUCUUGCCCCUGCUGCCACCUGUCAUUGCCAGCCCUUUCACCGCUCUCACGUGUAUGUAUCCUGAUGCACAGCCCUGGUUUCUCACUCAGGCUUCUCACUCUGCCUGUCUCACCUCCUGCACUGUAUCAUCCCAUCACAGCUUCUGGUGCCAGUGUAGGUCUCUCUGCGGCCAAAUUCCUUUCCAAAUUCCUCAUGCUUUCUUCUCCUUGAUGUUAGAGCACUUUAUUUUUAUCGCAAAAAAAAGAAAGGCAUAAUUGAAUUAUUCAUAUGUCACUAUUACCUAACUUGAUUAUGAACUGCAGGAGAUAAGAGUUGUUUAUUAUGCUUCUCUUCUUCCUCUCCUGCACCUGAUGUAUACAAUUCUGUGCUUAUCACAUAGUUGGCUCUGAUGCAAGGAUGAUAUUCAAAAUACUUAAAAACUGGCAUGGCAUGUGCACUGACCCAAGGGAAUGGAUUUCGGUUGUACUGUGUGUGUAUGUGUAGUGUGGA